rnacentral:tRNA from 1 species
CGGGGUAUGGGGUAGUGGGAGCCCGCGUGCAUGGGGUGCAUGUAGCGGCGGUUCAAUUCCGCCUACCCCGA